rnacentral:tRNA from 1 species
GCCUCCUUGGCGCAAUCGGCUAGCGCGUUCGGUUGUUAACCGAAGGUUGAUGGUUCGAGCCCAUCGGGGCGAA